rnacentral:rRNA from 1 species
AGCGAACGCUGGCGGCAGGCCUAACACAUGCAAGUCGAACGAAGUCUUCGGACUUAGUGGCGGACGGGUGAGUAACACGUGGGAACGUACCUUUUGGUUCGGAACAACUCAGGGAAACUUGAGCUAAUACCGAAUGUGCCCUUAGGGGGAAAGAUUUAUCGCCAUUAGAGCGGCCCGCGUUAGAUUAGCUAGCUGGUGGGGUAAAGGCCCACCAAGGCUACGAUCUAUAGCUGGUCUGAGAGGAUGAUCAGCCACACUGGGACUGAGACACGGCCCAGACUCCUACGGGAGGCAGCAGUGGGGAAUCUUGCGCAAUGGGCGAAAGCAUGACGCAGCCAUGCCGCGUGAAUGAUGAAGGUCUUAGGAUUGUAAAAUUCUUUCAGUAGGGACGAUAAUGACGGUACCUACAGAAGAAGCCCCGGCUAACUUCGUGCCAGCCGCCGCCGUAAGAC